CAAUCAACAAAUAGAUAAUCAAUCAGGUACAUUCAUUUCCUUUCUCAGUAGGACACCAGUACUCUUGUUGUUUUCCAUCCUUCUUCAUUUCUCUCUGCCAUUAGCCCAUUCCACCAUUGGCACCAAAAUGUGAUGUCUCAGUACCUGCCUCGAUAGUCAUGAACCGAGAUGAAGUAUGACAAUGAGGACACAGACAGAAAGGUACUGAAUCAAAAAGUGCAAAGUUCAUUCAUUAAAAACCAAAAAUGUCUGAUACAAAACGCAGUGCAGACCAAAGUCUCCCGUAAAUAAUCCAUUAAAAAACUGUUCUGUAAGAAAGAUAAAAUCUAAAUAAAUAAUACCAAGAAAUAAUCCCAUAAAACUAAGGAUACAUUCAGAGUCAGAAAUAGCCUUUUAUCUCCUUUCUUUCUCUACCUCUCAGUUCUAGCCACUGUCUUUUCACUUAUCUUUUUACUUUGGUUUCUUUUUCUGCUUUCAUUUUCAUCCUCAAUAUCUCUUUUCUCAUUUUUAAGCUCCUUAAAAUUAUUAAGCAGGUUAUUAUGUGUAACAGAGACAUGUAAAGACCAACAUAAACAUAUCAACAUAAAUCCAGUAGAAAUGGUAUGUCUAGUGUUCACUGCUGCACUAAUGCAGCUUUGUGUUUUGAAACAGUCACCAGCAUCCAGCCUGAUGUUGCAAUCGGGACACUAGAACCAUGAUUUUCUGUGCACUUUUCUUAUAAUAUAUUUUCUGUUGCUUGCACAUGAUAAAGUAGAAUGUCAAUGCCUGAUCCUCACAAUCAAUAUGACUAUCGUGUUAUUAGGCUAUCACAGUUCCAAGCUUAGUGACUUACACAUUUCCCCUGACAUAAACAUUGACUGGUUUUACAUUGUAAAAAGUGCUGAAGAGCCUAUCAAUUUGUUUGACCUUGCACUUGCACUUGCAAUUAUUUUGCCUUUUUGUCAAGCAGUUACUGACACGCCACAUUAAUGCUUCACACUACCAAUGCCGCCAGGCAUAUUGCAGCGAUCUGUUUGUAUAGCACCAUAUCAUGCAUCAAUUUCACUUUCUGUGUCAGCAUCUGAUGACCAUUUCAUAUCAUCAUCACUGUCACCUGAUCUGAGCACUGGUUCAGUUUCAGUUUGUUCUACAACUGACUUUUUGGCUUUUCAAUUGGCAUUGUGUUUUUAGUUGGAAGCUCCUCCUCAUUUAUGAAUUUUGAUGAGUUAUCUUAAGAGCAGCAAAAUGAGUAGAAAUAUUCAUAAUUUUUUUUGCAGUGUGAUGUGAUUUCAUCCAUCAAAUGGCAAAAGAAUUCUGUACUCGAGCGUUAUUCAGGCUUAAAAAUGUACAAGUGAUUGUACGACUGUGAUUGCAUAGAAUUCUGAGGCUGAAACACACUCAGGGUUAACGUCAAGAAGGUUAAAUCAUGCACCGCCACUGACUCCUGGCAUGAUUCACCACAGCAGCAUCAUAGGCAGAUCACUGUCUUUUGUGAAGAGUUAUUUCUGCUCUGUUGAUAUGUCAGAAUGCAUAUCCUUCUGAAGCAUGAAAAUGUGUACACAGUUUAAAUUACUGUAGGUUUAUGUUUUAGUUGGCUAUAUGUAACCAGCACAGUGCAUCUGUUAUUUGCAUUUGCUCCCUGUA